GAUGAACGCUGGCGGCGUGCCUAAUACAUGCAAGUCGAGCGGUAAGGCUCCCUCGGGAGUACACGAGCGGCGGACGGGUGAGUAAUACGUAGGAACGUACCCCAAAGUGAGGAAUAACCAGCCGAAAGGUUGGCUAAUACCGCAUAUGCUCUACGGAGUAAAGCAGCAAUGCGCGUUGGGAACGGCCUGCGUCCGAUUAGCUAGUUGGUAAGGUAAAGGCUUACCAAGGCGACGAUCGGUAGCUGUUCUGAGAGGAUGAUCAGCCACACUGGAACUGAGACACGGUCCAGACUCCUACGGGAGGCAGCAGUAGGGAAUUUUCCACAAUGGGCGAAAGCCUGAUGGAGCAACGCCGCGUGCAGGAUGAAGGCCUUAGGGUUGUAAACUGCUUUUAUCUGUGACGAUUAUGACAGUAGCAGAUGAAUAAGGAUCGGCUAACUCCGUGCCAGCCGCCGCGGUAA
rnacentral:rRNA from 1 species